CAAUAGCGUAUAUUUAAGUUGCUGCAGUUAAAAAGCUCGUAGUUGGAUUUCGGGUGGGAAUGGCCGGUCCGCCGUUUCGGUGUGCACUUGCUACGCCCACCUUGCUGCCGGGGACGUGCUCUUGAGUUCACGCUCGGGACACGGAGUCGGCGAGGUUACUUUGAGUAAAUUAGAGUGUUCAAAGCAGGCCUACGCUCUGAAUACAUUAGCAUGGAAUAACACGAUAGGACUCUGGCCUAUCUUGUUGGUCUGUAGGACCAGAGUAAUGAUUAAGAGGGACAGUCGGGGGCAUUCGUAUUCCGUUGUCAGAGGUGAAAUUCUUGGAUUUACGGAAGACGAACAUCUGCGAAAGCAUUUGCCAAGGAUGUUUUCAUUGA
rnacentral:rRNA from 1 species